CUCUAUUCAAGGUUUUAUCUUUCUGGUAUUAUUCAAUUUCAUAAACUUUUAUAGGACAAUUUAAAAUUUUCCUUUAAUUCUUUCCUCGUCAUCAAGAAUUCUGAUGAGGUGUUCUUGUGUCAGAUUUUACUCUGCCUGCAGGGUAACAAGUUAGUCUGCCAGAGUUCAUAACUGCUGGCAGAAGACAUGAGACCCCUGGAUGAGAGACAAAGAACUUUACUAAUCAAUCAGGCCAUAGCAGGUAAUUGGAGCUUCAGGUUUGCAUCAGUCACCCCCCACCAGUUCCAUGAGGCAAUGAGGAGUGGCCCAAAUGGAUAUUGUGUGCACAGUGGGGUUAAAUCACAGAUGAGGAACCCAGGCCUUAUAAAAAUCUCCAGUAUUAUAAGGGGGACAUUAGCAACCUUGCUAAACUUUAGGCCUUAGAGGGAGACAUCAUCUUUCUUAUCCUGCUCAGGAAACAACUCUGACCUCAGCCCUGGCAGGACACACCCUCUAAAUCUUCCAAGGCUGUUGCUAUACAAAAAUCCUUCUAGAACAAAAGCCCUGAAAGAUAUGUAGAAAUGAGUCCCAACACCUCUAACAUUUUCUUUCCCCAUUUCACUGGCAUGGGCUUUGCUAAAGCUUAAAUCUAGUUUUGUUCUGUUGUUAAAUCCAGCACUUGUGUUUCCAUUUCUUUUUCAAUAGGUGGGAAGACUCUGGAACUAGUUGAACACAGAGGUUUAAUGAGCGGACUCAAGGGGCUAUGUUCAAAUCCCAAGUAUCUGUCUUCUCUCCACUGAAGCUGAAGUUAAAUCACUAACCCAGCUGCUUAAUACUUUAAAAAAUUCAACUUGCUUCGGAAAUAGUUUUCUGACUUGGCAUAUAUUACUGGCCAGAGCCACUUGAAGACAACUUUGUAAGACUAUUGUUAAGACCACCAGUACCACUGAAUUAUUUCUGGUAAGAACUUUUAUGGUUCAUUUGUAUUUUUCAUUAAAAACAUGUUAUUGUGUGCUCUGUAUCUGGGUUGCUCUGAUUUAUUCCAGUGAUGAUCCAAAAAAAGACUGUAAAAUAUACAGGCAAAUGUCCUCUGCUUAAAGGUUUUGGAAGCAUCGCAGAGCAGGGGGGAAUAGGUAGCUUACCACAUGGGCUCCAAUUUUGUAAUCUGGUUCAUAGUUAACGGACAUAGGCAUAUUUAGAAACAAGUAGGCCAUAAACAUGGCUUCUUCAGAAUUAGAGUUUUACAUUUAAUUUACUAACUCUAAAUUGCUAAAUUACCUUAACAAAUUUAUGACCUUGGUUCCUGCUCCAAAGGGUGAGAUUAACCUGCCUUGGCUUUUAGAUUUGACUCUUAUUUCUGUAACCAGUUGAUACAGGUAGAAAUAUUUUGCUUACCUAGAACUCAAUUUUCGGUCAGCCUUUCUACCUGGAAAAUCACUGAGAAUCAGAGGUAAAUAAUAAUAGUAACAUGAAUUACAAUGUUAAGUGUUACUAACUCUUUUGUGGUCCCGUGGACUGUAGCUUGCCAGGCUCCUCUGUCCAUGGGAUGUCCCAGGCAAGAAUACUGGAGUGGGUAGCCAUGCCCUUCUCCAGGGGAUCUUGCCAACCCAGGGAUCGAAGUGGGGUGUCCAGCAUUGCAGGCAGAUUCUUUACUGUCUGAACCACCAGGAACCCAAUAUAAAUUAGCUAUUAAUAAUAAUAGCUAACCUAUAUUGUAUACUUGCUAUUGUUUUAAACUCUGUGGGUUCUUUACCUCAUCACCUCAUUUAAUCUUUACAAAAAUGGUGCAAUUGUAUUGCUCUCCCAAGUUACAGAAUAGAAAACUGAGGCUCAAAAAAGUUGAGUAGCUCAUCCAAGGUCACAUAGCUAGUUAUUCUGGAGCUGGAAGCUGAACUAUAUUCCAAAGCCCAACAUACACCUAACUGUUACAGUAAAUAAAAAGUGCAAAUGGAUGUCACAGAAUCUCUAUUCAGAAAAUGCUGGAUUUUAAACUUCAGGUUCCCAAGAAAUGAGCACUCUAUUUUUCAAAUGACUUUAGCAGACUUACAAAUAACGUAUUUGAAAAGAAGAAAAGGGGGCUUCUAGAAGUCAGAAUCGAUAGCAAGAAAAGAAUAUACAGUUUUGGACUGAUAGUAAGAGGACCUGAAAAAAACUAUAUUCUCAAAAUCUCUGAAAGCAUUAUAUUCUGGAUUGGUUAGAUAAGGCAUCAUGUUUACUUUAUUGUGUACCAGUGAGUAAAUACAGAACUUGAUCAUGGUAGAUUUAUUUUGUCAAUAGCAUGUUAAAUUCAAUAUAGUCCUAAUUUUAUUUAUAAAUCUCUAGUUUUAUUAUAUAACAUAUACAUUUUAUUGUGGAAAUAUUAGAAUAUCCAGAUGUGGUAACAAAAUAAACAUCUCUUAUAAACUCACAACCAGAGAUUUCCAUUGUUAACAUUUUGAAAGAGUUACACAAUAUAAAUACAAAUAUAAGUAUUGAUGUAAAUAUAUAUGUUUAUGUUUUAACAAAAUACCUUUAUUAUUGCCUUCACUUAUUAUCUUGUGAGCAUUUUUUAAAAUGUUCUUUGAUUAUGAAAGUAGAGAAGUGUCUAAUAUAUUUGAGAAUGAUUUUCUUUCAGAAAGGAUUAAAAAAAACCCCACGAAACAUUUAUUUAAUGCUUUAAGGAAAAAUGAAUAUUAAUCCAGAAAACUGUUUCAUGUGAAUCAAUUCAUUUCUUAAUUAUGCUAUAUCAAUGAAGCACUGAUGUACUUCAGUUAUCUUCAUGCUACAGAGCUCUCAUUGUUCUCC
ensembl:lncRNA